rnacentral:rRNA from 1 species
GAUGAACGCUGGCGGCGUGCCUAAUACAUGCCAGUCGAGCGAACAGAUGAGGAGCUUGCUCCUCUGACGUUAGCGGCGGACGGGUGAGUAACACGUGGAUAACCUACCUAUAAGACUGGGAUAACUUCGGGAAACCGGAGCUAAUACCGGAUAAUAUAUUGAACCGCAUGGUUCAAUAGUGAAAGACGGUUUUGCUGUCACUUAUAGAUGGAUCCGCGCCGCAUUAGCUAGUUGGUAAGGUAACGGCUUACCAAGGCAACGAUGCGUAGCCGACCUGAGAGGGUGAUCGGCCACACUGGAACUGAGACACGGUCCAGACUCCUACGGGAGGCAGCAAUAGGGAAUCUUCCGCAAUGGGCGAAAGCCCGACGGAGCAACGCCGCGUGAGUGAUGAAGGUCUUCGGAUCGUAAAACUCUGUUAUUAGGGAAGAACAAAUGUGUAAGUAACUAUGCACGUCUUGACGGUACCUAAUCAGAAAGCCACGGCUAACUACGUG